AUUGAACGCUGGCGGCAUGCUUUACACAUGCAAGUCGAACGGCAGCACGGGGGCAACCCUGGUGGCGAGUGGCGAACGGGUGAGUAACACAUCGGAACGGUGCCCACGUUGUGGGGGAGUAACCUAUCGAAAGGUAGGCUAAUACCGCAUGAGCUCGGCGAAGAAGGAAAGCGGGGGACGUCAGCGAUGGGCCUCGCGCGACUGGAGCGGCCGAUGUCCGAUUAGCUAGUUGGUGGGGUAAAGGCUUACCAAGGCGACGAUCGGUAGCUGGUCUGAGAGGAU
rnacentral:rRNA from 1 species